rnacentral:rRNA from 1 species
GAUUGAACGCUGGCGGUAUGCUUAACACAUGCAAGUCGAACGGAAACGAUACUAGCUUGCUAGUAGGCGUCGAGUGGCGGACGGGUGAGUAACGCGUAGGAAUCUGCCUGAUAGUGGGGGAUAGCCCGAAGAAAUUCGGAUUAAUACCGCAUAAUCUAUUCGUAGUAAAGUGGGGGACUUUCGAGCCUCACGCUAUCAGAUGAGCCUGCGUAAGAUUAGCUUGUUGGUAGGGUAAAAGCCUACCAAGGCGACGAUCUUUAGCUGGUCUGAGAGGAUGAUCAGCCACAUCGGGACUGAGACACGGCCCGAACUCCUACGGGAGGCAGCAGUGGGGAAUAUUGGACAAUGGGGGCAACCCUGAUCCAGCAAUACCGCGUGUGUGAAGAAGGCCUGAGGGUUGUAAAGCACUUUCAAUUGUGAAGAAAAGUUAGCGGUUAAUAACCGUUAGCCUUGACGUUAACUUUAGAAGAAGCACCGGCUAACUCCGUGCCAGCAGCCGCGGUAAUACGGAGGGUGCAAGCGUUAAUCGGAAUUACUGGGCGUAAAGCGUGCGUAGGCGGUUUAUUAAGUCAGAUGUGAAAGCCCCGGGCUUAACCUGGGAAACUGCAUUUGAAACUGGUCAACUAGAGUAUGGUAGAGGAAAGUGGAAUUUCUGGUGUAGCGGUGAAAUGCGUAGAUAUCAGAAGGAACAUCAAUGGGCGAAGGCAGCUUUCUGGACCAAUACUGACGCUGAGGUACGAAAGCGUGGGUAGCAAACAGGAUUAGAUACCCUGGUAGUCCACGCCGUAAACGAUGAUAACUAGCCGUUGGGGGGAUUUACCCUUUAGUGGCGAAGCUAACGCGUUAAGUUAUCCGCCUGGGGAGUACGGCCGCAAGGUUAAAACUCAAAGGAAUUGACGGGGACCCGCACAAGCGGUGGAGCAUGUGGUUUAAUUCGAUGCAACGCGAAGAACCUUACCUGGUCUUGACAUCCUGCGAACUUUCUAGAAAUAGAUUGGUGCCUUCGGGAACGCAGUGACAGGUGCUGCAUGGCUGUCGUCAGCUCGUGUCGUGAGAUGUUGGGUUAAGUCCCGUAACGAGCGCAACCCCUAUCCUUAUUUGCCAGCACAUCAUGGUGGGAACUAUAAGGAGACUGCCGGUGAUAAACCGGAGGAAGGCGGGGACGACGUCAAGUCAUCAUGGCCCUUACGACCAGGGCUACACACGUGCUACAAUGGGAAGGACAAAGAGCCGCGAAGCCGCGAGGUGUAGCUAAUCUCAUAAACCUUUUCGUAGUCCGGAUUGGAGUCUGCAACUCGACUCCAUGAAGUCGGAAUCGCUAGUAAUCGUAGAUCAGAAUGCUACGGUGAAUACGUUCCCGGGUCUUGUACACACCGCC